rnacentral:rRNA from 1 species
AUUGAACGCUGGCGGCAUGCUUUACACAUGCAAGUCGAACGGUAACAGGGAGCUUGCUCCGCUGACGAGUGGCGAACGGGUGAGUAAUGCGUCGGAACGUGCCGAGUAGUGGGGGAUAACGCAGCGAAAGUUGUGCUAAUACCGCAUACGUACUGAGGUAGAAAGUGGGGGACCUUCGGGCCUCACGCUAUUCGAGCGGCCGACGUCUGAUUAGCUAGUAGGUGAGGUAAAGGCUCACCUAGGCGACGAUCAGUAGCGGGUCUGAGAGGAUGGUCCGCCGCACUGGGACUGAGACACGGCCCAGACUACUACGGGAGGCAGCAGUGGGGAAUUUUGGACAAUGGGCGAAAGCCUGAUCCAGCCAUGCCGCGUGUCUGAAGAAGGCCUGCGGGUUGUAAAGGACUGUUGUCGGGGAGGAAAUCCCCAGCGCUAAUACCGCUGGGGGAUGACAGUACCUGAAGAAUAAGCACCGGCUAACUACGUGCCAGCCGCCGCCGUAACAC